UACGGAGGGGGCUAGCGUUGUUCGGAAUUACUGGGCGUAAAGCGCACGUAGGCGGCUUACUUGAUAAUGUAGAGGUGAAAGCCCGGGGCUCAACUCCGGAAUUGCCUUUAAGACUGCAUCGCUAGAAUUGUGGAGAGGUAAGUGGAAUUCCGAGUGUAGAGGUGAAAUUCGUAGAUAUUCGGAAGAACACCAGUGGCGAAGGCGACUUACUGGACACAUAUUGACGCUGAGGUGCGAAAGCGUGGGGAGCAAACAGG
rnacentral:rRNA from 1 species